UACGAAGGGGGCUAGCGUUGCUCGGAAUCACUGGGCGUAAAGCGCACGUAGGCGGACUCUUAAGUCGGUGGUGAAAUCCUGGAGCUCAACUCCAGAACUGCCUUCGAUACUGAGAGUCUCGAGUCCGGGAGAGGUGAGUGGAACUGCGAGUGUAGAGGUGAAAUUCGUAGAUAUUCGCAAGAACACCAGUGGCGAAGGCGGCUCACUGGACCGGUAUUGACGCUGAGGUGGCGAAAGCGUGGGGAGCAAACAGG
rnacentral:rRNA from 1 species